rnacentral:rRNA from 1 species
CCUACGGGAGGCAGCAGUGGGGAAUUUUGGACAAUGGGCGCAAGCCUGAUCCAGCCAUGCCGCGUGUGGGAAGAAGGCCUUCGGGUUGUAAACCACUUUUGUCAGGGAAGAAACGGUCUGAACUAAUACUUUGGACUAAUGACGGUACCUGAAGAAUAAGCACCGGCUAACUACGUGCCGGCAGCCGCGGUAAUACGUAGGGUGCAAGCGUUAAUCGGAAUUACUGGGCGUAAAGCGUGCGCAGGCGGCUUUGCAAGACAGAUGUGAAAUCCCCGGGCUCAACCUGGGAACUGCAUUUGUGACUGCAUGGCUAGAGUACGGUAGAGGGGGAUGGAAUUCCGCGUGUAGCAGUGAAAUGCGUAGAUAUGCGGAGGAACACCGAUGGCGAAGGCAAUCCCCUGGACCUGUACUGACGCUCAUGCACGAAAGCGUGGGGAGCAAACAGGAUUAGAUACCCUGGUAGUCCACGCCCUAAACGAUGUCAACUGGUUGUUGGGAGGGUUUCUUCUCAGUAACGAAGCUAACGCGUGAAGUUGACCGCCUGGGGAGUACGGCCGCAAGGUUGAAACGUCAAAUGAAUUGACGG